rnacentral:tRNA from 3 species
GGCGCCGUACCCAAGUGGUUUAAGGGAGUGGAUUGCAAAUCCAUGAUUCAGCGGUUCGAAUCCGCUCGGCGCCU